AGAGUUUGAUCAUGGCUCAGGAUGAACGCUAGCGGCAGGCUUAAUACAUGCAAGUCGAGCGGUAACAGGUGUAGCAAUACAUGCUGACGAGCGGCAGACGGGUGAGGAACACGUACGCAACCUCCCUCAAACCGGGGCACAACCUUGAGAAAUCAGGGCUAAUUCCCCAUAACAUUGCGAAAGGGCAUCUGAUUGCAAUUAAAGAUUUAUCAGUUUGAGAUGGGCGUGCGUUCGAUUAGCUAGUUGGUAGGGUAACGGCUUACCAAGGCAACGAUCGAUAGCUGGUGUGAGAGCACGACCAGCCACACGGGCACUGAGAUACGGGCCCGACUCCUACGGGAGGCAGCAGUAAGGAAUAUUGGUCAAUGGACGAAAGUCUGAACCAGCCAUGCCGCGUGAGGGAUGAAGGUCCUCUGGAUUGUAAACCUCUUUUAUCUGUGAAUAAACGUCCUUUUUCUAAGGGAUUUGAAGGUAAUAGAUGAAUAAGCACCGGCUAACUUCGUGCCAGCAGCCGCGGUA
rnacentral:rRNA from 1 species